rnacentral:rRNA from 1 species
CACGUAGGGUGCGAGCGUUGUCCGGAUUCAUUGGGCGUAAAGAGCUCGUAGGCGGUUCGAUAAGUCGGGUGUGAAACCUCCAGGCUCAACCUGGAGACGCCACCCGAUACUGUCGUGACUAGAGUCCAGUAGGGGAGCGUGGAAUUCCUGGUGUAGCGGUGAAAUGCGCAGAUAUCAGGAGGAACACCGGUGGCGAAGGCGGGUCUCUGGGCCGAUACUGACGCUGAGGAGCGAAAGCGUGGGGAGCGAACAGG